GACGAACCGUGCGAACGUUAUUCGGAAUCACUGGGCUUAAAGGGCGCGUAGGCGGGCGGACAAGUCGGGGGUGAAAUCGUUCGGCCCAACCGGACAAGGGCCCCCGAUACUGGCCGUCUCGAGGGAGGUAGGGGUCGAUGGAACUUCCGGUGGAGCGGUGAAAUGCGCAGAUAUCAGGAGGAACACCCGUGGCGAAGGCGGCUCUCUGGGACGGUACUGACGCUGAGACGCGAAAGCGUGGGGAGCGAACAGG
rnacentral:rRNA from 1 species